CAAAUAUCAGCUUUCUUCUUUUGUUCUUUUCUCUCGAACACAAAGCUAAGCUCUGCGAAACUAAAGAAGCAGCGGAAUUCGAGAGAUUGAGAGAGGAAGCAUAGACGAGGACGAGAGUCCCUGAAAAGACCAACCACUUCUGAUAACAAUCAUAUUUGUCCUUACAGAAACAGUUAGGGUUUUUUUUGGGAGAAGAUUGCAAAACUAUUGAGACGUGUAUGUAUGAAGACUAAGGUGUCUACGGUUUGCCUUCCAACUUUGCUUCUUUUUUUUGGUUUUUGUCUCUGUUGGCUGGUUUUUAUUUUUGUUUUAAAUUAUCUUUGUCUUCUUUGUGAUGUUCUGUUGUGUUGGAGUUGGGUGAAAUUGAGGACUCUUGUUGGCCAUAGGAUGAUAUACCAUUACACAAUGAGCCAAGUGAAGAGCCGAGAUAGUUUUCUUCAUUAGAUUGGUGGAUUUGAGGCUGCUUGCAGAUCAAACUCAAAAGGCCAAGGUUUUCAAUAGUUGAUUCAAAAGGAGUUGAUGAGUAUGAGGAAUCAGAAGUAUAAGGAUGUACUUACUAAGAGAGAAGGAUUCAAUGGCUUUUGUCGACAUAAUUACAUCAUCAGCGGUUUUCUUGUGUUUCCUUGCAUGUGUAUUUGAUUCAGCUGCUGAUCGGUUUAGAAAUCGUUGACGAGGUUGUCAACAGCUGAUUCAAAAAGAGUUAAUGAGUCUGAGGAAUAGGAAUUAAAAGAAGCUUGUAUCCUUUUGUGUGCUUCACCAACAAGGAACUACCCAAGGAGCGUCUUAGAGGAUGAAGAGAUCGAAUAAAUCAUCAUAUAAACAAAGAAGAAGCCAGACACUUUACAGUAAGGCUUGGCUUGGUCACCAUUUAAUCUAGGCUCUGGUGGCAACAUUCAAUGUAGAGCUGGGAAAUACAUUAGCCAUUUUGACAAAGCGAGAAGGUGAUUCAAGAGGUGCUGCUGUUUUGAGUGUCAUGGAGGUUUGUGUUCUUCUUUUCUGACCAAUUAUGUCAUAGAUACUUAGUUAAUGUUUUACGUUGAUUAAACCCUUUACUCAGAGAUACAUUCACCGAGGUUUGGCUUCUCUCUCCUCCACAGUUUGGCUUCCAAUUUUGCUUCUGUUUGUUUUUUCCGUUUUGAUCUCUGUUGGGU